GUUGAGGGCUAUCUUGAUGGGGCUUUUUCUACAGACCUACAUCUCAUUGGAAAUGCCUCAUAGAGUAACUCUGGUUUCCUUUACUCACAGAACUGUGUGUUGAAUCUGUGGGAAAGAACUACAAGUCAGAU
ensembl:snoRNA